rnacentral:tRNA from 1 species
GCACCUGUUUUCGCAGUUAAAAUUGGGGAAACCAUUGAUACACCGAGCGUUUCAAAAACUGCCCAGGCCUGUUUCCUAAACCGCGGGUCGCACGUUCAAUUCGUGUCGGGGGCACCA